UUAGCUAUUGUGCAUAAGCGUGAUCUAAUAAUCAGAAAUGUUUUAAUGUAAUCCAUUGCUCAUGCAAUUCUAUAGUCUGUGGAAACUGCUCUUUUACACUGGUACAAUUGCAGUCUUAAGUUGGAACUUAUUUGUAGUUUAUUCAAUGACUACAUAAUAUCUCUAUAUAAUGCCAUACCAAUAAGGCAUAUUUGAUUAGUCUUGCUUGGUCUGAACAUUCUUAAAUGUAAUUCAGGAUGCUCUAGCUAAUCUUUUUUCUCAUUUCUGACAAGAUGCAUUGUUGUUUAUCUGAAUAACAGUUUCGUGGCAUGAAAAAUAACAUAUAUAUAACAAUGCAUUCCAUGGGGCUGCAGUACUGGAAAAUUUCCUGAUCGUUGAGGCAAUCAACAUGCAUUUGCAUAGCUUCUGUAACUCAAAUGAAUGCUAUGUAAAUAAUAUUUUUUUCGUCUAACUAUUAUCAAAAUGCAUGCAAGUUUAGCUCUGACAGAAUCAAGUCAAUCAACUAUGGGACAGGUACAGUAUGCAGUUGGGUUCUAGUGUUUAGCUACAGUGCAGGUACAUCUUCCUUGCUUAGUCUAAUUGUGAUUGUCAAAUGUUCCUUGAUUGCUAGAUUUUUGUGAAAUCUUCUUGUGCAUAUGUGAAGGGAAGCAAGCUUGGAUUCACUGGAUGAUGUAUACACACCAAGUGCACCUCGCUUUCAUAAUAGCAAGCAACCUCAUAUUGAGAUUCUUCUAAUUACGGUACUCCUAAUAAUUGAAUAUGUGGGGAGAGUCAGUGUUCCAUGAAACCAGAUUGCUUUCCUUGCUACAGAGUAUGAGCCACCUAGUUUGCUGGCUUGGUGGCGAGGGCGUCAACAUGGCGACGGCGGCAGCCCGCGCUCGCAUCCGUUGGUCAGCAGAGGAGAGCAGCAGGCGGCCACGGCGCCCCGCGCUCACUUCCAUGGGCCAGCAGAGGUGAAGCCGACGGUGGCGCCGGAGACUCUCGCUCCGUCGCUCGCAUCCAUGGGGCAGCGUAGGAGAGGCAAGUGGCGACGGCGGUCUGUGCUCGCGUCAUUGGGGCAGUAGAGGAGCGGAUGGCGGCGAUUGAGUCCCGUGUUUGCGUCUGUGGGGUAGCAGAAGAGGAGCGGACAAGGGACAACGGCAGCGUCGAUCCGCGCUCACGCCCAUAGGCAGCAGACAACAGAGGAGGAGCGGCGGGCGGUGGCGGCGAUCUGCGCACGCGUCUGUGGGGUAGCAGAGAGACGACGUGUUGUGAGGCAGAGAGAAAAUUACGGGACAGAAACCCCCCUAUCCACGUUAAUUGAGGGCGAACCAGUGUGCCGGGCAGUCUGCUUGGCAGAACAUUUAAUCUGGGAUGUUCAUGUGCGUGGCAGACCCUUGAUGUGAUAUGGACUGUUAGAUGCUAUUUAGUUGGAUUGAUCUAACGCCUCUGAUAAUCCUGUGUACACUUUGUGGUGUGUCUCUAAGGGAAUUCAUGUUUGCUCUUUUAAUAGUAGUAUAGAUAUAGAUAAUCCUGUGUACA